UACAGAGGUCCCAAGCGUUGUUCGGAUUCACUGGGCGUAAAGGGUGCGUAGGUGGUCGGGUAAGUCUGAGGUGAAAUCUCGGAGCUUAACUCCGAAACUGCAUUCGAUACUGCCGUGCUUGAGGACUGGAGAGGAGACUGGAAUUUACGGUGUAGCGGUGAAAUGCGUAGAUAUCGUAAGGAAGACCAGUGGCGAAGGCGGGUCUCUGGACAGUUCCUGACGCUGAGGCACGAAGGCCAGGGGAGCAAACGGG
rnacentral:rRNA from 1 species